AUUUUCAUCCCACCAACUUGUUUGAGAAACUCCACCCAUGGGUGACACCGAAGCCUGUCAGUUGGGCAAACUGCAGGGAAGCAGUCCAAACAUGGAUUGAUCAAAAUUAAGAUAUAACAUCACAAAAAUGGGUGGAGCAAUGCCCAUAUAAGGAGAUGUAAUUUAUAUUAAUAUUACAAUUCUGACUUGCUCCCUUUCAAACCCCUCGUCACCAGUCAAAGUCCCCAUGAUGGUGAGAUAUUCACUGUGGUUAAAAGGAGUGAACAGCUCUAUCUAAAUGAUGCAUCUGAUGAUGAUGUGUUGUGGCUUUUGCAUGCUAUUUCUGAAGAUAGGAGAGGACAUCUCUGAAAAUUGGAUUUCAACUGUCAAAAUAAUCUAAAUUAAAAUUCAGCAUAAUCUAUUUUAAUAUUAGCCACCUGACAACGUCAUCUAAAGCAGGUUACCCACUUGUUUCUGUCCUGGAAUCAGGUGCAGAUAAUCUAAAUUUUGAUUAUUUAAUUUAUCUUGUAGGUGGAAUUAAAAUAUCUUCAAAGGUUCUUUUUUGCUUAUGAGAUGUAGCCUGAAUUAUUUUCUCUAGUAUCUGAAGCUGUGGUAAGCUUGUCGUUUUCCAGAGCCGUGAUUUAACCAUUCCAGUGAGGGUCUGCAAGCAUGCCCAAAUAUGGGCACAAAUUGUGAUGUAAUAAUCUAAGUUAAGAUCAAUCCAUUUUAGAUUUUUUUUCCCUGCAGUUUGCCUGACUGCUGUGUGUGAGGCUGUAGCCCACUCUAGGCAGAGCACCACAACAUAUUUGUGCACAGGUUUUAUGAAUAUAAAUGACCUAUAGAGUCAUUCACUGGGUAAAUCUUUGGGACCCACUCAGCUCUGAGCUCCACCCCAUUUGCUCAAACCCAAACACUGUUUAAAGGCCCUGAGCAGGAACACCUUGCAGGCAAGUCCCUAAAUAUGCUUGCAGGUAGGUGGACCAAAUGAAACAACUAGGGAAGGAGUAUCAGAUUUGGACAAAGUCCUCAUCAAACCAGUGGGGGUAAGCUGGAUGAAAGUAGGUAGAACUCGUUUAGCGUAAAGUAUGUACAACCCAAAUCUAUCAUAUUAUAUAUCUAUCAACUCUAUCAUAUUAAUGAAUACUUUUCUCAUAAACCAAUCCCUAAACACCUGGAUGUCUCGUAUCUUUUUCAAGUAGCGUCAUACUCUUGCAGAUCUCUCACCAUGACCCAUAACCGCUAUAUGGAUCUAGCGGACCGGGCGCUCGAGCAGUGGCCAGCUCUGCUGCACGGCUUGACUUCAAGGCAGGCACUGGAGCAAGUAAAAAACAAGAUUCAAUGGCGUGUGAGGAACUAUAAACGACCGGACCCGGGUGUCAUGGGAUCAUUCAAG